CACGCGCCUGCCAUCUGCUCCGGCCUUCGUGGUGCUGGAGCAUGAGAACAACUGCACACAGCUCAUCCUCAGAAACACGUCAAGCGUUGCUUUCUUUCCAGCCGAGAAGGGGGAGCUCUGGGAAGGCUGCCAGCAAAAGCAACAGUUUGAAUUUUGGCUGAUAAUUCAACUAGGAGAAUUUCAAAGCAAUUUAUGGAUUAGCAGAGGAACUGCCAUAACAUGAAUAAAAACAGAGACCAAGCAAAACCACCCAAAGAGAAGACGCAAAAAUCUCUACAAGGAAACCUCGCGCAUCUCACCAGCAAACAGCCCAGCCCCUGAAGUACAAGCUGCAGUCCAGUACAACCCACUGGUUACCUUUGCAGCCACCCCACUCAGAGUCACAGCACUUCAGGGAAGUAAAACAAGAUGUGAAGCGGGCAGAUCGUUUACACCACAUCUUUUCUGGUGAUGCCUGGAAGUGGAGCUUUCUGUGAACUCUGGACUUCCAUUACAAAAGGCAAAAAUAAAACAGCAAAGAACUU